CAGACGCAGUCCGAGAGUCCAGACGCAUGCCGACUGGAGGACCAAAGAGAUUAGCACGAGGAAGGAUGAUCUUCCACAAAAAGAGCUAUGUACAGCUAUAAUGGAAAAUACUCGGUGAGGAGAAAGGAAAUAAAAGGCAAUACAGCGUAGCCAAACCCGGGUUAGCUGCCGGUGGAGUUCAAGAGCGCGCCGCGGUCCCGCCCCCGCCAGCCCCGCCCCGGCGAGAAAACGUAUGCAAAUUUUCGAGCGGCCGACGCGCGGUCUUCUGGGUAAAACCGAGCCGCCACUUUUGCGACCCUUCAGGAGCCUCAGAAAACAAAGAAUUGGGGUGUCGUCGAAAACUGUGGAGGCUGGAGGUAAGCUAGCUACCAGACCGACUAGGGCGAGGCUCACGAAUUAAUUACCACAACCCUACCAGGUAUUGGCGCUUCCUGCUUGCAGCGCAGGAAUUAUCUAUCGCAACCAUCCUUUUCUUGGGGUUGCGCUACUGUCCAAUGAGCGCAUAGUGAGGGCAGUACUGCUAACACCUAAACAACACACUCGCAUCAACUAGAGCUUUGCUUUACCUUGGUGCAAUUUUUGGAAAAAUGGAAACCCGUUUUCAUAGACUUACAAGUUCAAACAACAGUAAGUCAUAAAUAAGCUGGUACUUUGUCAUUGAACCAACAGAGAGUGCACAAAACGCGUGGUUUUAAUGUCGUAAGGAAGGUUUUCAGCUUUCGCGGUGAAAACCAGAAGGAUUCCAAUGAAACUUUAGCCCGUUAACCUUACGGCGAUCAUCGACUGUUCUGUAACUCCUUUAUGAGUACAGUAUGAAGUGGAGGAGUAACUAUCCUGCAGAGAAAACUGACAGACGCAACCUCAGCCAGACGGUGGAGGUCAACAUCAAGUACACGUCAUAUGAUGUCAUGCAAACGGCAUUUUGCCUCUGUGAUAGUCCUUCCCAAGACCCUUAAGCCCAGUCUAAACAUGAGGAAAACAUCAGAGAAAUUCCAAUAGAGGGGCAUCCUACAAAACACCUGACCAGUGCCCCUCAAAACUGUCCAGGUCAUCAAAAACAAGAACUCUGAGAAACCGUCACAGCAACAGCAGCCAAGGGAAACAUAACAACUAAAUGUAAUGAGGUAUCCUGGAAAAGAGUGUGAAACAGAAAGAUGACAUUUUUCCUUAGGUAGAAACUAAGGAAAUAGGAAUAAAGCAUGAACUCUAGUUAAUAAUAAUACAUCAAUACUGGCUCAUUAAUUGUAAUAAGCCACAUUAAUGUUAGAUAUAAUAAUGAGAUAUUUGUAAUUUUUCUGUAAAAAAGUUUAUUUUUUAAAAAGAACAGCCCAUCACUUAAGUGAGUUAUUUAGCUUUUGUCUGGUGAAAUCUUAAGCUUAUCUGCACGGUUGCAUUACUGUUUGCAGGUAGGGGUGUUAUUCAUGACAGAAACAUCCCUUCAUACAUCGUUCAAGGCUAAGGUAAAGAGGACUAUUGUUUAUUUGGGGGAAAGCUGACGUCAGCUUUUCCAGGAUGGCAGUUUACUUGGUAGGUCUGAGCAGAGAAGGCCUCGCUGAGCCCCGGACAGUCAAGUUUCAAUGCGUUGCCUAGAGGAACUGGGGAGCCUGGAAACUCCCGAAGAAGACUGAGUGGGUAGAUGCACCUGAGCCCCAGAGAAAUAGGACAGGAGAGGACCAGGGUGCCAGCCAGGAGGACAGAAGGCAGUUCCAGGCACUUUCACAGCUCAGGCCCUUCUCCUGGGUUUCCAUUUCCCUACUGAAGAAAGGGAUACAUGAAAAAGUCCUUGCCCAGAAGACCACUCUGAUAAUUAACUAUAAAAACCUCUUUGUGCCUAAACCUCCUCAUCUGUAAAACAUGGACAAUAAUAACAGCUGCCUCGUGGGUUGUUGUGAGGAUUAAAUAAAGUGUGUAUGUAAACUGUGCCUGGCACGUGGUAAGGGUACUUUUUUUCCCCCCCCAUUUCUGCUUUCUUCAGCCCUUAGGUUUAUAAAACCAACUUCUUCUGCAUGGCUCACUGGAAUACACAAUUCUGUUUUAUGGAAUGAGGUGUUACCUGAUUCUAAAGUCACGAAUAAAAGUCAAUCAAAAUC